CAGCUGAAAUCUACUUCUUCCCACAAAAUCGUUUCUUCAUGAGAUUCAUUCAUCGAUAGUCUAUCAAAUAGAUCGUGACUCACGGAGAGAGUCUAUGGCAAGAAGAAAGGUUAGAGUUAACUUGUGUUCUUGAAAUCAAUGUUGGCUGCUUCCGCGCUAAAAUUUAGUGCAAUUGGUUUGAUUGUCUGUGUAGUGAACCAAUAUUCCAAAACAAACAGGAAGUGUAGCUGUUGGAGGAAAAUGCAAGACAUUAUUGUAAACCGAAGUGGACGCCCAAUUGAAUUAAAUGGACUUCGGACCCGAUGGAGUUUUAUU